rnacentral:rRNA from 1 species
UUUUCCUACGGGACGCAGCAGUGGGGAAUAUUGGGCAAUGGGCGCAAGCCUGACCCAGCAACGCCGCGUGAAGGAAGAAGGCUUUCGGGUUGUAAACUUCUUUUAUGAGGGACGAAACAAAUGACGGUACCUCAUGAAUAAGCCACGGCUAACUACGUGCCAGCAGCCGCGGUAAUACGCAGGUGGCAAGCGUUAUCCGGAUUUACUGGGUGUAGAGGGCGUGUAGGCGGGACUGCAAGUCAGAUGUGAAAAUUAUGGGCUCAACCCAUAACCUGCAUUUGAAACUGUAGUUCUUGAGUGAUGGG